rnacentral:rRNA from 1 species
AAAUUUAGUUUAGAUUUUUAAGGAGUUAUUGCUCUUUUUAAGAUUUUAGAUUUUAAGGGAUAAGCUUUAAAAUUAAUUUAAAAGGAAAGUGGUUUUUGAGUUUUUUUGUAGGCUUGGAAUUAGCCAUUGGAUAGUGUUAUAAAAUAAAGUAAUUGGUUUAGGAUUUAAUUUUCUUUUUUAAUUAUAAAGUUAAUUAAUAAACUAUUUUAAUAGUGUAAAUAUGAUAAUAUAAGUAGAAGAAAAGAUGAAAUUUUUUUUGUAUUAAGUGAUUUAAAGUUUAUAAUAAAAGAACUCGGCAAAUAAGAUUUCCGAAUGUUUAACAAAAACAUUUCCUCUUAAUUAUGGGAGGUAAGACCUGCUCACUGAAAAUUUAAAGAGCCGCAGUAUUUUAACUGUGCUAAGGUAGCAUAAUCAUUAGUCUUUUAAUUGGAGACUGGUAUGAAUGGUUAAACGAGAAAUCAGCUUUUUUUGUUAUAAGAUUCGAAUUUAAUUUUUUAGUGAAAAAGCUAGAAUUUUUCAGAAAGACGAGAAGACCCUAUAGAGUUUUAUAAUUUUUUUAAUUUUUUUUUAAUUAGAUUUUUUAGAUAGAAAUUUAAGGAAUUAUUUUGUUGGGGCGACAUUUAGAUAAAAAAAACUCUUAAUUUUUUGAACUUUAAUAAAAGAAUAGAUUGAUCCUUUGAAAAAAGAUUAAAAGAUAAAAUUACCUUAGGGAUAACAGCGUAAUCUUUUUUGAGAGUUCUUAUCGACAAAAAGGUUUGCGACCU